rnacentral:lncRNA from 1 species
UAUAAAAUAAAAAUAUUUUUCAUGAACAAAUUUUGGUGGGUAAAAACCCUAUCCCAUCCCAUAGUAAUCGCCAAGAAAAGCUAUCACAUCCAAGUUAGCUCUUAACUUCCCUAAAAAACUUAUGAAUACGCAUCUACAUUUAUUGACCCAGCACAUCCCAUAUAUUGGAUCAGAACAGUAAGGCCCAGACUCACUAUCAUAGGUGCAGUAACGUUCAAAUCCUGCGAUAUAAACAACACAAAUAAAGGCAUGUUACAAAACGGAAUGAAAAGAUUAAACCAACUCUUUCAAAAGAAUGUGAAAAGAGACGUACCACCAUUGACUAUGACAAAUCACGGAUCGGUCUUGAUGUUAUCUUUAUUAUGUCUAUUGGAGAUUUUUGAGAUUAUGUAUUGAUAAUGAUACAUGUAGUAUAUCGACAUGGCUACUUGGAGACUUGCUUUUAUUAUGGAUGAUUGUUGAGAUGAUUUAUUUAAAUGUCAAUGUAAUGAUGUUUUUAUUCCGCUGCGAUGAUUUGAGAAAUUUGUUUAUGCAUGCUUGGUGAAUUAUUGAAGAAGUAACAUCUAAAUUCUUUAUACGAUUGUAUCAUUAGCGUAGCGUAAUUAAUCGCAUUUAGAGUUUAGGGUGUUACAUGUCUCACCUUCAUAAACUCUUCUCAAGAAUCCUAUCUAUCCGAGGUGGAACAAAAUUCACCGAGUGUUGGCUAUUAACACAUAGUCCACACAAGUAUGCAUUUUGGUCCUUCUGAAUAGUUUUGUCAAUGUUUUUGAUUGAGUUAACGUCAUAGACUAAAGUGACAAAAAGAAUGAGUAACAUAUGAUUUGAUAGGGUUUUCAAUUGAGUGAUGAACUAAUAUUACAACAAGUUAAACUACUAAGAAUGACAAUGGUGGUUUCCCUAAUUUCAAUCUUUAUCAAUUAUCCUCUGCAAGAAUUAUAUCUCCUCAUAGAUAUUUUUAAAUUUAAAAAAAUUGGUAAUGGUUAUGUCUUUUGAUUUGUUAGAAUUAAUGAGUGUCUCUAUUAUGAGUGUUUGUUAUUAGAUACUUGGACCAUUCUUGAAUUCUAUCUUAUCAUGGCCGGGCCAUGCAUUCUUUCCUUUAUUUUCCGCACUGUCGUUUUACUCUCUGCCUUCCUCGAAUGAUCCUUGAUAGCUUUUCUUGUCUCAUUGGCGUCUCUAUUAUUGUGUGGAAAAUUCCACGUAGAAACAUCAAUUUGAAAUUUAUUAUCAUGAAUUUAAUAUUGGUUAUCUUGAAUUAAAUUUUAAUUUUUCAUAAUUAAAAUAAAUUAUAUCACUCCAAACAUUUCAAAAUUAACUAGGAUAUAGUAUUACUAGAUUAACAUUUAAAAUAUGUAUCUUGAAUUUAAAAUCAAUUUUUUUAAUGUAAGUGCCCCUUUGUUACAGAUUAAAAUAAAAGUGAUUUUCACAUAAAAUAAUUUAGAGAUUUUUUGAAAAAUCAGAAUCUAGUUUGUUUGAAUACAAAUAUAUAAAAGGGAUUUUUUGUUACAAAAUUUGUUCAAUCUUUUAAAUCAUAUUUUCUCUCUCAUCUAAAAAAAAUAUAUUUUUUGAGAAGCUGCUUUUAACAGCUUCUCAUUUGAAGCAGUUUUUAGAUAUUUUUUAGAUUCUGAUUUUUUAAAAAAUUUGUAACAAACGGAUGCAAAAAUCUUAAAAGUGAUUAUUUUCUUAAAAAAAGUGGUUUUUUUUUCUUAAAAAAGCUAUAACAAACGGGCUCUAAAUAAGUUAUAGGGUUAAAUAUAUUUUAUUCAUGUUUAGUCCCAAAAAAAACUUAUUCAGUUUUUUUCCCUUUUAUAGGGACUAUUUUGGAUAACUAAAAGUAACUAUUUAAAAAAAAUAAAAUCAAAAUAGGGACUAUUUGUACAAACUACAAUAUUAUUCAAGACUAAAAUUACCAUUAAAAUUUUAUAGAGGUGUAGAAAAGAGACGUUGUCNAAUAUUAUUCAAGACUAAAAUUACCAUUAAAAUUUUAUAGAGGUGUAGAAAAGAGACGUUGUCACAUUGCCAGCACAUCAAAAUAGAGUUGUUCGAAGCUUUGGUCAAUCACCAAUGAUCUUUUUCCUGAAAUGGUUAUUGACCUCUGAAGGAUCAAUUUCAAAUCCAUUCUAUGUAUGUAGGAACAUUGUUGCAGGCAGCGCUGUUAUCCUUGUCUUGUAGCAGAGACACAAACUGAGUAGUGGAGAUAGUGGUUGUACACUUCGUACAAUUGUACUUUGUCAACGCUCUUCAAAGAUCAAGCAUCCAAUGCCUUCAAAUCCUUUCAAAAUAGUCGUUGCUUCAUUCUUCCAGUCUUCUGCAAUGCUUAGACGAGAUUAAAUCCAUUGAACAACCUUUGAAGCUUUAAUUCUUGCAUCUCCUGAUGAACUACAACUUCUGAUAUUCUUCAGCUUCUGAUGAGAUGCUUCUGACGAACUUGCUUCUGAUGACGUCAUCACUUCAGGAGCACUUUGACUUCGGGAGCACUUCUCUUCAGAUGCUUCAAGCUUCCUUUUUGUUGAUUCAAUUGCUCUCUAUUGUUCUUCCAGAACCUAAUAAAGAUAUCAAAUUUUUGUCUAAAGUCCUGUACACUUGAACAAUUAUUAGCAUAUCCAAUUGACAAUUUUUAAUACCUUGUAAUCAUCAAAACUCUAAAAGGGUAAUGUUAAGAACAUUUUGUUCCAACGGACCACCUACCUUAUUCGUAUGGAUGGGUAGACGGCGUGCAUGACUAGUUUGCUUUGCUUUGGUGAGUUUCAUGAGGAUAACUUAGAUGCUACCUCGUUUACUGCUUUUGGUGUUUUAGACUUUAAGGCUCUUAUUACAGGUCGGUCUUGAUGUUAUCUUUAUUAUGUCUGUUGGAGAUUUUUAAUACCUUGUUUUUAAUAUGGAUGAAUGUUGAGAUGAUUUAUUUAAAUGUCAAUGUAAUGACGUUUUUAUUCCGCAUCGAUCUUUUGAGAAAUCUGUUUAUUCAUGCUUGAUGAAUUAUUGAAGAAGUAACAUCGAAAUUCUUUAUACGAUUGUAUCAUUAGCGUAAUUUAUCGCUUUUAAAGUUUAGGGUGUUACAUGUCUCACCUUCAUAAACUCUUAUGAAGAAUCCUAUCUAUCCGAGGUGGAACUAAAUCUACCGAGUGUUGGCUAUUAACACAUAGUCCACACAAGUAUGCAUUUUGGUCCUUCUGGAUAGUUUUGUCAAUGUUUUUGAUGGAGUUAAUGUCAUAGACUAAAGUGACAAAAAGAACGAGUAACAUAUGAUUUGAUAGGGUUUUCAAUUGAGUGAUGAACUAAUAUCAACAAGUUAAACUACUAAGAAUGACAAUGGUGGUUUCCCUAAUUUCAAUCUUUAUCAAUUAUCCUCUGCAAGAAUUAUAUCUCCUCAUUGAUAGAAGCCAAAAAUCAUAGAAGGUCGCCUUGAUAGUAGAAGCGACUGCCACUCAAAGUAAUCUCAAAUAUCUCUUAUAUCACCUCUGCAAGAAUUAUAUCUACUCAUUUGACAUUUAUAAAUUUAAAAAAAAAUUGGUAAAGGUUAAGUCUUUUGAUUUGUUAGAAUUAAUGAGUGUUUGUUAUGAGAUAUGUAUGCAAAUAUCUCUUAUACCAUAUUAGAUACUUGGACCAUUCUUGAAUUGUAUCUUUACAUGGCCGGGCCAUGCAUUCUUUCAUUUUGCUCUCUGCCUUCCUCGAAACAUCGAUAGUGUAUGCAAAUGUGAAAUGCAUGGGGGUGUCAUUUAUUAACUUAAGUGAUACAAAUUAUCAUUUUAAAACCAAUUCCUGUGGGAAUUUGGACUUUUUAUCUUAAAAUUUCAAUUUGAAAUUUAUUAUCAUGAAUUUGAUAUUGGUUAUCUUGAAUUAAAUUUUAAUUUUUCAUAAUUAAAAUAAAUUAUAUCAGUCCAAACAUUUCAAAGUUAAGUAGGAUAUAGUAUUAAUAGAUUAACAUUUAAAAUAUGUAUCUUGAAUUUAAAAUCAAUUUUUUUUAAUGUAAGGGUCCGUUUUUUACGGAUUAAAAUAAAAGUGAUUUUCACAUAAAAUAAUUUAGAGAUUUUGUGAAAAAUAAGAAUCUAGUUUGUUUGGAUACAAUUAUAUAAACAUGAUUUUUUGUUACAAAAUUAGUUCAAUCUUUUAAAUCAUAUUUUCUCUCUCCUCUAAAAAAAAUAUAUUUUUUGAGAAGUUGCUCUUAAUAGCUUCUCAUUUGAAGCUUUUUUUAGAUUUUUUUUUUAGAUUCUGUUUUUGGAUAACUAAAAGUAACUAUUUAAAAAAAAAAUCAAAAUAGGGACUAUUUGUACAAACUAUAAUAUUAUUCAAGACUAAAAUUACCAUUAAAAUUUUAUAGAGACUAAAAUUAAAAACUUCUGAAUUUUUAGAUACUAAACAUAUUUAACCCUAAAUAUAUUAAGAAAAUGAGAAAAUUAAAUUUUGAAGCUUAAUCAAAAUUUUAAAUUAUACAUUUUGAAACGUGUUUAGUGGAAUGAGCCUUGACUAGCAAUUCCUAUAAUUAUUUCAAUUAACUCUUGCACAUACUUCUCUUUAUAUAUCUAAUCAAGUCUCAAAGCUACACACAUCCAAAGCUACACAUACAGUGUGCACUAAACGGUAUUCUUGACUUACCGUUUCCCAUAAUAAUACGAUAUUCCCCAAUAGCAAAAUGAAUUUUUUUAUGAUGCUUCUUCUCUGUUUUGCUAGCCAAAUGUCGGUGUAUUUCAUGCCAAUGGCAACAAUCGCACUUUCUUUGAAUUCAAAGACUGAUAAGCUGGCUUUGCUUGCUUUGAAGGAAAAGCUUACAAAUGGUGUACCAUAUUAUUUGCCAUCAUGGAAUGAGUCUCUACAUUUCUGUGAAUGGGAAGGGAUUACAUGUGGUCGUCGUCACAUGAGAGUCACUGCCUUGCAUUUGGAAAAUCAAACAUUUGGUGGCACUCUUGGAUCAUCCUUGGGAAAUUUAACAUUUCUUCAAAAGCUCAGCCUUUCAAAUGUCAACUUGCAUGGUGAAAUUCCAACACAAGUUGGUCUUUUGAAACGAUUGCGAGUUCUUCUCUUUGGAAACAACAAUCUUCAAGGAGAGAUUCCCAUAGAGCUCACUAACUGCACAAAUAUCAAGGUAAUUGAUUUACCUUUCAAUAAACUCAUUGGAAGAGUUCCUGCAUACUUUGGGUCAAUGAUGCAACUUACUUGGUUGUCUCUUGGUCACAAUAAUCUAGUUGGUACUAUUCCAUCUUCCCUAGGAAAUCUUUCAUCACUCGAAAAGCUUUCAUUUCGACAAAAUCACUUGGAAGGAAGCAUACCAUAUUCUUUGGGUAGGUUGUCAGUUUUGACAUGGCUGUCUCUAGGUGUAAAUAAUUUGUCAGGUGAAAUCCCUCAUUCUCUCUACAACCUAUCAAAUAUUCAAAUGUUUUCUAUUGAUUCAAACAAGUUAUUUGGUAGUAUUCAAUCAAAUAUAGAUCUCGUUUUUCCCAAUCUUGAACGAUUCUUUAUAGGAUCUAACCAAAUUAGCGCAACUUUUCCGUCUUCAAUAUCCAACCUCACUGGAUUGCAAGUGUUUGAUAAAUCAUCUAAUAAUAUUAAUGGACCAUUACCUCUUACUUUGGGUCGAUUAAAUAAACUUGAGUGGUUGAAUAUUGGAGGUAAUUAUCUUGGGAGUGGAGGAUCUCAUGAUUUUGAUUUCCUUCCAUUGUUAACAAAUUGUACCCAAUUGUCAAGGAUCUAUCUUUAUGACAAUAAUUUCGGUGGUGUGUUGCCGAAUCUUAUAGGAAACUUUUCAACUAAUCUUCAAUUUCUUCAUAUGGAGUAUAAUCAAAUAUAUGGAGUGAUCCCGAAAACAAUUGGACAACUAAUUGGUUUAGUUGCCUUAACCAUUAGUUAUAAUUUACUUGAGGGAGCAAUUCCAGAUUCAAUUGGAAAGCUUAAGAAUCUAGGAUCAUUGGCUUUGGAUGAUAACAAAUUCAUCGGUAACAUUCCAUUAGUCAUUGGCAAUCUUACUUUUUUGAAUGGAAUAUAUCUAUCUAACAAUAAAUUCGAAGGAAGCAUUCCAUUUACCAUAAGAAAUUGCACCAAAUUGCAGGGAUUAUAUUUUAAUAGUAACAAAUUGAGUGGUGAUAUACUCAAUCAAACAUUUGGCUAUCUAGAUGCUUUAAUAUUUUUUGACUUGUCUAACAACUUAUUGACCGGCCCCAUUCCUUCAGAAUUUGGUAACUUGAAGCAACUUUCUCAAUUGGAUCUAAGCUUGAAUAAGUUGUCUGGUGAAAUUCCUAAGGAUUUAGCUUCUUGCAUAGCAUUGACAGAACUUUGGUUGGGAGGAAACUUCUUCCAUGGAGCUAUACCUUUGUUCUUCGGUUCCUCUUUAAGGUCCCUUGAAAAAUUAAACCUUUCUGAAAAUAAUUUCUCAGGCAUCAUCCCCUCUGAACUAGAAAAUCUAACAUAUUUGAAUAGUUUAGACUUGUCUUUUAACAAUCUCUAUGGCGAGUUUCCAAAAGGAGGUGUAUUUAGCAAUGUUUCAGCAAUUUUACUAACAGGAAACAAGAACCUUUGUGGAGGAAUAUCUCCAUUGAAGCUUCCUCCAUGUUUUAAGGUUCCCUCCAAGAAACAUAAAAACCCUUUCAAAAGGAAACUUAUCAUUGGCAGUGUAGUUGGUGGCGUUUUAAUCUCAUUCGCAGUUUUGAUUAUUCUUUAUUUUCUCGCGAGAAAGUCCAAAAGGCUACCUACUUUACCAUCUUCGAAAAAUGGGAACUUCAGGGUUACUUAUGGUGAGAUACAUGAGGCCACCAAUGGGUUUUCUUCAUCAAAUUUGGUAGGGACAGGAAGCUUUGCCUCUGUUUACAAAGGAUCUCUCCUUUACUUUGAAAGACCUAUUGUUGUAAAGGUGUUGAAUCUUCAAGCACGUGGAGCUACAAAGAGUUUCACAGCUGAAUGCAAAGCUUUGGGAAAGAUGAAGCACCGAAAUCUUGUCAAGAUUCUUACAUGUUGUUCAAGCGUAGAUUAUAAGGGUGACGAGUUCAAGGCUAUUGUUUUUGAGUUCAUGCCUAAGGGGAGUCUAGAAAAGCUUCUGCACGAUAACGAAGAGUCUGGAAUUCAUAAUCUCAGCCUCACACAAAGGGUUGACAUUGCUCUUGAUGUAGCUCAUGCAUUGGAUUAUCUUCACAAUGGUACUGAGAAUGUUGUAGUUCACUGUGAUGUGAAACCAAACAAUGUUCUUCUUGAUGAUGACAUGGUAGCCCACUUGGGAGACUUUGGAUUGGCAAGGUUAAUUCAUGGAGCCACAGCAUAUUCAAGUGUAGAUCAAGUUAAUUCGUCCACAAUUAAGGGAACUAUAGGAUAUGUUCCUCCUGGUAAGUUCUUUCACUUGGUAAUUAUAAUUUAUUGUUUACUUUUAAAUUGCUUUAUUUAUGAUCAAUGAGUUAGAAUUUAUUAUAUGUACGCAUGCGCACAUAUUCGUUUUGUUCAUUUUUUCCUAAACUGUUGAUGUUAUUGUUUGUGAAGAGUAUGGAGCGGGUGGCCAAGUAUCACCUCAUGGUGAUAUCUACAGCUACGGAAUUCUUCUAUUAGAAAUGCUCACUGGAAAGAGACCAACAAAUAGCAUGUCUUCUAUUAGAAAUGUUCCAGAUGGAAUCUUUGAGAUAGUAGAUUCACAUUUGCUUUUGCCAUUUGCUGAAGAUGAGACAGGGAUUGUGGAAAACAAGAUUAGGAAUUGCUUAGUGAUGUUUGCUAUAAUUGGAGUUGCAUGUUCUGAAGAGUUUCCAUCUUAUCGAAUGCCGAUAAAAGAUGUUAUAGCAAAGUUGAAUGAAAUCAAAUCAAUGUUUCCAUGCGAGGAUCCGUUGCUUGUGUUCACAAGAAAAUAUGACUAGUCUCUAGCCAUCAAUAAGGUGUUUAUGUUGCAUUACUUUGAACUACAAUUUCUUUGUAUUGGGAAAAUGAUUUGUAUUUCUAGUCAAAUGCAUUAAAUACAUAGUAUUGUUUCGAAAAAUUGUUAGUUUAUAUGCAAGUAAUACAAUUUUGGUUUAUGAAAACUAGUUUUUAAUAUCAUUGUUUGAAAUUAGAUAAGAAAAAUGUGAUAUUUAUGAAUAUCUGAAAAUUUCACUCUGUGUUCCAUUUUUCUAUACAUUGGUUCUAUAUGGCUAAACAAUUAGAUGAUUGUAUUGCCUCACUAGGUUAGCCUGAGCUGAGAACAGUAUACUUUGGUUGCAUUAUAAAAAGUAGAAAUUAACAUCAAAAGUGUUUCAAGAUUUCUUAGCUUUAUCAUGUAGCAUUCAAAUUAAAGCGUUACAAAAUUAAACAAGUUGGUGUGGUUUGUGACGGCAAUCUUGCAUUUAUUAGAGGCAUUAGGUGUAUAUCAUUUAUAAAACUAUAUUAGUAUUUUGAUGGUGUGAUUUUUAUUAUAAUACAAAUCCGCAAGUGUACGGUUCUAUCGAUUCGUAAAAAGAAUGUCGAUCCAUAUAGAGUUUAUGCAAUUAUUAAUCUAAUUUUUAGUUUUGAUUAUCCCGAAGAAAUAAGGUUUUGAGAGAAAUAUUUGUUGGUUUAAAGUUUUGAUAGUUUUUUUUUCAUCAUAAUACUAAAUCAUAAACAUUCCCUAUAUUUUUCUUUAUUUUAUGUUAAAUUCAAUUCUAAGGAUAAGGUGUUCUUUGAUAUUUUAUGUUUCUUUUCGGAAUACAUAAAUGCAUCUCAUAGGAGAUUCAUAAAUUCAUGAAGUACCACGGAAAUAUAUAUGUAUAAAAUAAAAAUAUUUUUCAUAAACAAAUUUUGGUGGGUAAAAACCCUAUCCCAUCCCAUAGUAAUCGCCAAGAAAAGCUAUCACAUCCAAGUUAGCUCUUAACUUCCCUCAAAAACUUAUGAAUACGCAUCUACAUUAUUGACCCAGCACAUCCCAUAUAUUGGAUCAGAACAGUAAGGCCCACACUCACUAUUAUAGGUGCAGCAACGUUCAAAUCCUGCUAUGUAAACAACACAAAUAAAGGCAUGUUACAAAAAGGAAUGAAAAGAUUAAACCAACUCUUUCAAAAGAAUG